GGGAGGGUGAGGCAGGAGAAUUGCUUAAACCCGGAAGCUAAGAUGGCACCACUGCACUCCAGCCUGGGCAACAGAGCAAGACUCUGUCUCAAAAAAAAAAAAAAAAAAAAUUGCGGUUUUUGCCAUUACUUCUCAUUACUUCUAAUGGCAAAAAUGCCAAGUGCAAGUAGGUCCACCCACUGUGUGGGAGCCCAGCCCCAAUGCAGGGGAAGUGGGCCAGGAGGGAUGAGCAGCAGGGGUGAGGAGAGGGAGGGAGGCCUGUGGGGUGAGGAACAGGGAACCAAUAGGGCCACCCUUUUGAUGUUGUCCCCCAGGAAGAGCCAUGACUGUCCCCGACUUUUCCUCUGGGACUUCCUGGAAUCUGAGGGGUCACAACCCCUGUUACCAUUUACAUUAACAGCACAACCCUUUCUUUACACAACGUCUUGCCUGGCAGCCAAUAUUCCAACAGAUAAAAGUGCGAUGACUGGGAUGGGGCCAGUCACUCAACCCCUCGCCAAAGAAGGGGAGCUCUAAGAAGAAAUAACUGGGAAAACCACUAGACUAUCAAACCCUUCAUUUUGCUGCCAAGACUACUAAGGCUUAGAAAGGGGGAGUGGCUUUCCCAAGGUCGCCAGUUGUUGGCAGAGCCGGAUCUGACACCAUGCGUCUACCAUGACGUUCCUCUUCCGUUUUCAAAGCCUUUCAGGGUCUGUCUAUAUUUUCAGUCUGAUUCAGCUCUGAAGGCAUCGAAUACUACCUUUGUGUGCCUCAGGGCCUCUGGGGGCUUCACGAAGGGAGGGAGGCCCCUAGCCUGUGGCCCAGGCUCUCUCCACCACGCUGCCUCAGGCCCUAGGCUGGCCUAGGAAGCUCAGCAAACAGCACAAUCUCACCCUCACAGGAAAACUGAAACCACAGCCUCCAUCACUUGGCAAGGGUGGGGCCUCGGUCAGGGUUGGGGAACCCUCAUGGGCCCAGUGAGCAGGAUCAGAAAGAAGAAGGAGUCAAAGAGUGGUAAGGAGACAGAAGGGUGGAGAAGGGGGCAGGGGGCAGGGGGCAGAGAGCAGAGAGGAGCGGCACCAGCAGAGGGAAGUGGAGAGGGUAGGCUGGGACCAGGCCCUGGGGACCCGGGUGGGGUAUUUUCCCAUGGAAACAUGGGAGGUGGGGAGCUGCCUGGCUGCCUCAGUUUGCAGAUGUGACCCACCACCCUUUCUACACACACUGGGGCAGAAGGGUGCUCUUUCCGUUUCAUACCGUUUAGCCCAUCUGUGUCCCCAACCAAACCCUGGCCCAUUCCUCCAGCCCUAGACUCCCAAGCCCCAGCAGCAACAGUUGUCUGUCCAGCCCCCACCCCACCUCCUGGGACCCUCACCCACCCUGGCAGCAGAGGAAGGGGUGUGGAGGUCCAGGGAGAGGGUGCUGGAGCCCCACACAGACCCUGGCUCCAGGCUGUAGAAGCCAGGAGCCCACUAGGCCUUCCCCACCCCAUCAUUCACUGUCAGGCUUGGAGACCCGGCCCCCUCCAACGUCCCCAGCAUUGCCCACCGACUUACCCCGCAGGCUGAGGCCAGGGCGUGGCGGCUGCUGGGAUCCCGGAGCUUCUCAGUAGCAGGGGCUGCG
rnacentral:lncRNA from 10 species